rnacentral:rRNA from 1 species
GACGAACGCUGGCGGCGUGCUUAACACAUGCAAGUCGAACGGAAAGGCCCUGCUUUUGUGGGGUGCUCGAGUGGCGAACGGGUGAGUAACACGUGAGUAACCUGCCCUUGACUUUGGGAUAACUUCAGGAAACUGGGGCUAAUACCGGAUAGGAGCUCCUGCUGCACGGUGGGGGUUGGAAAGUUUCGGCGGUUGGGGAUGGACUCGCGGCUUAUCAGCUUGUUGGUGGGGUAGUGGCUUACCAAGGCUUUAACGGGUAGCCGGCCUGAGAGGGUGACCGGCCACAUUGGGACUGAGAUACGGCCCAGACUCCUACGGGAGGCAGCAGUGGGGAAUAUUGCACAAUGGGCGGAAGCCUGAUGCAGCAACGCCGCGUGCGGGAUGACGGCCUUCGGGUUGUAAACCGCUUUCGCCUGUGACGAAGCGUGAGUGACGGUAAUGGGUAAAGAAGCACCGGCUAACUACGUG